rnacentral:rRNA from 1 species
GACGAACGCUGGCGGCGUGCCUAAUACAUGCAAGUUGAGCGAUGAAGAUUGGUGCUUGCACCAAUUUGAAGAGCAGCGAACGGGUGAGUAACGCGUGGGGAAUCUGCCUUUGAGCGGGGAACAACAUUUGGAAACGAAUGCUAAUACCGCAUAACAACUUUAAACAUAAGUUUUAAGUUUGAAAGAUGCAAUUGCAUCACUCAAAGAUGAUCCCGCGUUGUAUUAGCUAGUUGGUGAGGUAAAGGCUCACCAAGGCGAUGAUACAUAGCCGACCUGAGAGGGUGAUCGGCCACAUUGGGACUGAGACCUGGCCCAACCUCCUACGAGAGGCAGCAGUAGGGAAUAUUCGGCAAUGGAAGAAAGUAUGACCGAGCAACGCCGAGUGAGUGAAGAAGGUUUUCGGAUCGUAAAACUCUGUUGGUAGAGAAGAACGUUGGUGAGAGUGGAAAGCUCAUCAAGUGACGGUAACUACCCAGAAAGGGACGGCUAACUACGUG